GGGUCUCGACUGCCGUUCCCCUCUUCCCUCCACGAUCCGCAACCCACUCCCUGGACCAGCCGCCCAGAUCAUACCGCCGCAGCUGGUUGGGGGCACCAUCUGGACGGGGAUGGUUCCCCAGGAGGAGACCCUCCCCUGCCUCCGAGGCCUGCCUGCUCCCCUCAAAAGCUUCGUGCCAACAGAGAGGUUCCUGUUUGGACCCAGGAGAGUGGAAGAGAGAUUGGGACUGACUGCUGAGGUUGGGAAGGCACCUGCUCCCAGAGAAGGGGGAACGCAAGGGGCGUCCCAAGACCUCAUCUGCCUGCAGCGUCACACCGAUGGCCUGGCCUUGGCUUCUGAUUAUUUGCAACUGCGAUGGAUGUUUACAGGAACCCAGCCAGAGUUUGCCUCCCUGCACUUCAUCCCGGAGCGCACCUGCUUCCCCCACUUCACCUUCAGAGAGGACACUUCAAACUGCGGACACACACAAAAGCGACUCCCAGCUCCGUUUGAUGUUACUCAUUCUUCAGCAAGUUGGCAAAACAGACAUCAUGCUGGUGAGUGCCACGUUACUCCCCCGGCUGGAAAUGCUUUUCUGAAAGUAUGAGUGUUGUGCCUACUUAAUUCUGAUAAACCUGUUUAAGCAA
rnacentral:sRNA from 1 species